rnacentral:rRNA from 1 species
AGCUCCAAUAGCGUAUAUUAAAGUUGUUGCAGUUAAAAAGCUCGUAGUUGGAUUUGUGGCGUGUGCCGUGGCGUCCAUUUGUUUGGUUCUGUCGCGGCCGUGCCAUCCUUGGGUGGAUCCUGUGUGGAAUUAGGUUGUCGUGCAGGGGAUGCCCAUCGUUUACUGUGAAAAAAUUAGAGUGUUCAAAGCAGGCUUAUGCCGUUGAAUAUAUUAGCAUGGAAUAAUAAGAUAGGUCUUUGGUCCUAUUUUGUUGGUUUGCGGGCCGGAGAAAUGAUUAACAGGGACAGUUGGGGGUAUUCGUAUUCCAUUGUCAGAGGUGAAAUUCUUGGAUUUCUGGAAGACGAACUACUGCGAAAGCAUUUACCAAGGAUGUUUUCA